CUCGGGGGCCACCAAGUCGGGGCUGGGCGGUUGGUUACCGCCUGGUGCCGCUGCUGCCCGGCCAACCACCUGGCUCGGCCACGGCCUGGGCUUCGGCCUGGGGUCUGCGCUUCGGGCGCGCGAUAGGGGCGGGGAUGCCGCCAUCGCCUCUCAGCAGGCAGGCGGUGAGCUCCGAGGAGAACUACCUGCAGGAGGCGACAGGCAGAAGGCGUCCCGGUGUGGAGGUUCUGGGACCAGAACUCUACCAGAGCUGCGGGGCCAGACCUGGCUCCCCGCUGCGGGCGGUGCUGAGGCGCAGGACCCACAGCAGGGCCGCCACCCUCCUGCCAUGCAGCCGCCCCAGGCUGCUUGACCCGGACUCUGGGCGCUUUGAUAGAAAAGUGGAAAGUGGGGCCGGGCUCUGUGGCUCACGCCUGUAAUCUCAACCCUUUGGGAGGCCGAGGCGGGCGGAUCAUUUCAGGCACUCCUGUUGAGUUUGAGCCUCAACAAGAAACUCAAGGAGGUGACAAUUAAAACAACACUGAAAUAUCUUUGCCUGCCUUAUUUGCAAGAUUAAAAGGACUGAUACAAUUUACUGUUGGUGAAGGCUACAGGCACUAUCUUGCUACCCACCCCUAAACUCUGACUCUGACCCUGACCUCAUCCCACGCUUCCCUACAAUCCCUCAGGUGAGAUUGGAAAGCCCUGCGUCCUUGAGCUCAUGGACGAUGUGCUCUAUGAGGAGGUAGAGGAGCUCUGCCUGGUACUCGACACUCCACGAAGCAACUGUCCCUUUGGGGCUGCAGUUGGUGAACAAAAAGAAACUCUCAUAAGGAUCCGAGAUGAUGCUGAUAAGACUCUUAUUAAACUUGGAGAAACCAGUUUAACGUCACUGAACCCAAAGAACCCGGAAAGUCAGUGGCUAUAAGAAUUCCAGUGAUUCACCAAGGAGACACUUCCAAGGUUUCCAUCGUGAGUCCACACCAAGGAUGGCUUGGCCACCUGUGGAGAAUCUGUGGGGCUCCCAGGGCCUGUCUCCCGAUGGAUCCUGCCAACUCUGUGUGCUAGUGCCAGUGCCCUUGAGGAAAAGAAGAGAAACAUCCAACUGAAAAAAAAAAGGCACCCUCUUUGUUGGGGGGUAUAAGUUUAAGGGGUACAAGUGCAAUUUUGUUAUAUUGUGUAGUGAUGAAGUCUCCUCUUUUAGUACAUCCAUCAUUCGAAUAAUGUACAUUGUACCCAUUAAAAAAUGUCUCAAUACCCACCCUCUGCCACUCUCCCAG